rnacentral:tRNA from 1 species
GCCGGGGUGCCCGAGCGGCCUAAGGGGGUAGGCUCGAGUUCCGGCUAGAGCGAGAGACCUACUGCCCCAUACGGGGCACGCGGGUUCGAAUCCCGCCCCCGGCG